rnacentral:rRNA from 1 species
GGAAUAUUGGACAAUGGGCGCAAGCCUGAUCCAGCCAUGCCGCGUGCAGGAUGACGGUCCUAUGGAUUGUAAACUGCUUUUAUACGAGAAGAAACACUGCUACGUGUAGCAGCUUGACGGUAUCGUAAGAAUAAGGAUCGGCUAACUCCGUGCCAGCAGCCGCGGUAAUACGGAGGAUCCAAGCGUUAUCCGGAAUCAUUGGGUUUAAAGGGUCCGUAGGCGGUUUAAUAAGUCAGUGGUGAAAGCCCAUCGCUCAACGGUGGAACGGCCAUUGAUACUGUUAGACUUGAAUUAUUAGGAAGUAACUAGAAUAUGUAGUGUAGCGGUGAAAUGCUUAGAGAUUACAUGGAAUACCAAUUGCGAAGGCAGGUUACUACUAAUUGAUUGACGCUGAUGGACGAAAGCGUGGGUAGCGAACAGGAUUAGAUACCCUAG